UGGGGAGUGGUGUAAUUGGUAACACGCCUGCCUUUGAAGCAGGAAAGUCCAGGUUCGAUCCCUGGCUCCCCAGCCA
rnacentral:tRNA from 1 species